AGUUUGAUCAUGGCUCAGGUUGAACGCUGGCGGGAUGCUUUACACAUGCAAGUCGAACGGCAGCACGGACUUCGGUCUGGUGGCGAGUGGCGAACGGGUGAGUAAUGUAUCGGAACGUGCCUAGUAGCGGGGAUAACUACGCGAAAGCGUAGCUAAAGGCUCGCAUACGCCCUUCGGGGGAAAGCGGGGACCUUCGGGCCUCGCACUAUUAGAGCGGCCGAUAUCGGAUUAGCUAGUUGGUGGGGUAACGGCUCACCAAGACGACGAUCCGUAGCUGGUUUGAGAGGACGACCAGCCACACUGGGAUCAGACACGGCCCAGACUCCUACGGGAGGCAGCAGUGGGGAAUUUUGGACAAUGGGGAAACCCUGAUCCAGCCAUCCCGCGUGUGCGAUGAAGGCCUUCUCGGGUUGUAAAGCACUUUUGGCAGGAAAGAAACGGCACGGAUAAUACCCCGUGCAACUGACGGUACCUGCAGAAUAAGCACCGGCUAACUACGCCAGCAGCCGCGGUAAUACGUAGGGUGCAAGCGUUAAUCGGAAUUACUGGGCGUAAAGCGUGCGCAGGCGGUUCGGAAAGAAAGAUGAAAUCCCAGAGCUUAACUUUGAACCGCAUUUUUAACUACCGAGCUAGAGUGUGUCAGAGGGAGGUGGAAUUCCGCGUGUAGCAGUGAAAUGCGUAGAUAUGCGGAGGGACACCGAUGGCGAAGGUGUUCCUUGGAUAACACUGACGCUCAUGCACGAAAGCGUGGGGAGCAAACAGGAUUAGAUACCCUGGUAGUCCACGCCUCAAACGAUGUCAACUAGCUGUUGGGGCCUGCCCGGUAGCGCAGCUAACGCGGUGAAGUUGACCGCCUGGGGAGUACGGUCGUAAGAUUAAAACUCAAAGGAAUUGACGGGACCCGCACAAGCGGUGGAUGUGAUUAAUUCGAUGCAACGCGAAAACCUUACCUACCCUUGACAUGUCUGGAAUCCCGAAGAGAUUUGGGAGUGCUCGCAAGAGAACCGGAACACAGGUGCUGCAUGGCUGUCGUCAGCUCGUGUCGUGAGAUGUUGGGUUAAGUCCCGCAACGAGCGCAACCUCUGUCAUUAGUUGCUACGAAAGGGCACUCUAAUGAGACUGCCGGUGACAAACCGGAGGAAGGUGGGGAUGACGUCGUCCUCAUGGCCCUUAUGGGUAGGCUUCACACGUCAUACAAUGGUCGGGACAGAGGGUCGCCAACCCGCGAGGGGAGCCAAUCCCAGAAACCCGAUCGUAGUCCGGAUCGGGUAGUCUGCAACUCGACUGCGUGAAGUCGGAAUCGCUAGUAAUCGCGGAUCAGCAUGUCGCGGUGAAUACGUUCCCGGGUCUUGUACACACCGCCCGUCACACCAUGGGAGUGGGUUUUACCAGAAGUAGUUAGCCUAACCGUAAGGAGGGCGAUUACCACGGCAGGAUUCAUGACUGGGGUGAAGUCGUAACAAGGUAG
rnacentral:rRNA from 1 species